ACCUGGCUGGCUUAGUUAGUAGAGCAUGUGACUCUUGAUCUCAGGUUUGUGAGUUUGAACCCAACGUUGGGUG
rnacentral:tRNA from 1 species